GUUUCAUCAGCUAGUCAAUACUCUCAGAUCUGUAGAAAUAUACAGUGGUAGAGGAAGUAUAGACAGGAUAAUCUACUCUCUCUUCCUCUGUUUCACCACGUCGUCAGCAGGGUCUUGUGUGUGUGGUCAAAACAGGAAAGAGGAGGAGAAGUACAGUCUAUAAGUGCAUAACUGGAGAUCACAGAGUCUCAUUGAGCAGCAAGACAGGAUGGAACUCACACCACUCUGCUGGCAGCUCUUGCUGUUGAGUACACUGGUAUACUGUAGCCUCGGACAAGGUGGAGGAGAUAAAAACCUCUGAGUCAUAUUUGGAGAAGGAAAUCCUGCUCAUUCUCUAGUCACCUGAACCAAAGUGCUGACAUAGCGUUUCCUCUCUGAUCCUCCAUGUUUUUUCUAUGAAGUCUCUACACACUUAGAAAAAAGGAUUCCAAAAGGUUUUUCGUUCAAAGGAUUAACCCUAAUCCUAACCCUUUAUGUGACAUGUUGAAUCCUCUGUGGAAUGUGUCCCAAUAAUUACAGAGGACACUGUAUAUAUCACAGAAUCUAUUAACUACCCUAAACUACCUCCUACCUACUGCGCACUAAACCUACCAACCCUUCACUGUCCCAGUAAUUACAGAGGACACUGCAUAUACCACAAUAUCUAUUAACUACCCUAAACUACCUCCUACCUACCGCACACUAAACCUACCAACCCUUCACUGUCCCAAUAAUUAAAGAGGACACUGUAUAUUGGGGCGGCAGGUAGCCUAGUGGUUUAAGAGAGUAGCCCACCCUCACUAGGUUAAACAGCUAGAGAAUAGCUUCUCUCUGAUGUGUUUCAGCAACUAUGUUAGAAUAUAAAGCCUUGUCUCCAGAUCUCAGGAUAAUAUCCUCCCUUCAUCACUAGGUUAAACAGCUAGAGAAUAGCCUCUCUGCUGUGUUUCAGUAUCUCUGUUAGAAUAUAAAGCCUUGUCUCCAGAUCUCAGGAUAGUAUCCUACCCUCAUCACUAGGUUAAACAGCUAGAGAAUAGCCUCUCUGCUGUGUUUCAGUAUCUCUGUUAGAAUAUAAAGCCUUGUCUCCAGAUCUCAGGAUAGUAUCCUCCCCUCAUCACUAGGUUAAACAGCUAGAGAAUAGCCUCUCUGCUGUGUUUCAGUAUCUCUGUUAGAAUAUAAAGCCUUGUCUCCAGAUCUCAGGAUAGUAUCCUCCCCUCAUCACUAGGUUAAACAGCUAGAGAAUAGCCUCUCUGCUGUGUUUCAGUAUCUCUGUUAGAAUAUAAAGCCUUGUCUCCAGAUCUCAGGAUAGUAGUAUCCUCCCCUCAUCACCAGGUUAAACAGCUAGAGAAUAGCCUCUCUGCUGUGUUUCAGUAUCUCUGUUAGAAUAU
rnacentral:lncRNA from 1 species